UGGGGAAUAUUGGGCAAUGGGGGAAACCCUGACCCAGCAACGCCGCGUGAGGGAAGAAGGUUUUCGGAUUAUAAACCUCUGUUCUUGGAGAAGAGGGGAAGACGGUAUCCAAGGAGGAAGCCCCGGCUAACUACGUGCCAGCAGCCGCGGUAAUACGUAGGGGGCGAGCGUUGUCCGGAAUGAUUGGGCGUAAAGGGCGCGUAGGCGGCCAGGCAAGUCAGUAGUGGAAGUCCAAUUUUCAAGGUUGGAAGUGCUAUUGAAACUGCAGGGCUUGAAUGCAGGAGAGGUUAUCGGAAUUCCCGGUGUAGCGGUGAAAUGCGUAGAGAUCGGGAGGAACACCAGUGGCGAUGGCGGGUAACUGGACUGCAACUGACGCUGAGGCGCGAAAGUGUGGGGAGCAAACAG
rnacentral:rRNA from 1 species